UACGUAGGGUGCAAGCGUUGCCCGGAUUUAUUGGGCGUAAAGGGCGCGUAGGCGGCUCGGCACGUCCGUUGUGAAAUCGCCCGGCUCAACUGGGCGGGGUCAGCGGAUACGGUCGAGCUUGAGCAAGCUAGGGGGCAAUGGAAUUCCCGGUGUAGUGGUGGAAUGCGUAGAUAUCGGGAGGAACACCAGUGGCGAAGGCGGCUCACUGGACUGGUAUUGACGCUGAGGUGCGAAAGCGUGAGGAGCAAACAGG
rnacentral:rRNA from 1 species